GGGGCCGUAGCUCAGUUGGGAGAGCGUCGCGUUCGCAAUGCGAAGGUCGUGGGUUCGAUCCCCAUUGGCUCCACCA
rnacentral:tRNA from 1 species